AACAAAAACACAAUUCAACACAAUUUAUAAUUUUCUCAAGAAAUCAAAGCAAUCGAAAUCGGAGAGAACAACAAACUAAAUAUACAUAUGUAUACAAGAUAUAAGAUACAAAUUGAUAAUCCAACUAGUUACAGAUACAGAUACAUUACAGCCAUUACAAAUAGCGUAAGAAUGCGUUUUAUAUGCACGUAAAAAAUACAUACACACACAUGUAUGUGCAUGUAUGUAUAUGUGUAUGCGAGCCAAAAAUAAACAAAAACCGAUAAUGAAGAAGAUUAUGAUGAUAAAUAAUAACGACGAUAAUGAUGAAAUAACUUCGGAGUUUGUAGUCAAGCCAAGCCGAGGAUGUGAAUGCGAAAGCAAAGGAGAUGCGUGUGGGCGUCUUUGGGAGUGCCUCCUCAAGAGAGAAGCAAUUGAAAAAUAACAAAAGAGAGACCAAAAUGUGAGGGAGAGAGAGAGAGCGAGCGAGGAUAGCAAGCGCGACAAACUAAAACUAGAUGAAAAACUUGGCAAUGUCCGUAAAAAGAUAAAAAUUAUAUAUGUAUGUAUGUAUGUAUGUUUGUACACUCUGGAUGGAAACGAACCGAAAACGACCAAAUCGAGAACAAACCAAGAAUCAAGAACCAGACUCAGUUUUAACGCUCGCCGAAACUUGCCAAAAGAAUUGCCAACCUACAAGUCGCACUUGGCUAUACCCUAACCAGCACCGCACCAAAUGAUUAAUAACAUCAAAUGUAGGGAGAGAAACAUGAUCUCUCUCUCUCUCUAUGUCUCUCUCCCUUGCAGCCCAGCAGCUACAGGUUUUCGUUGCCUGGCAUGGAAUAACCCCUAAAGGUUGAUAGAGAAGGAGCGCGAGGCUUUGCAGUGAGCGUUAAAGAGAGAGAGAGCAAGAGUGAGAGCGUGUUAUAAAGAGAGAGAGGCACGUGCAAUAAAUGCAAUUACCGCAUUCAAGCUGCUGACUCUGUACUAUUUUAUACACACAAUUCUGAAAUGCAGGAUAUAUGAAAGAAAUAUUAGACUUUACAAAUUAGAACGAUAUAUUAAAUACUCAACAUAUUUA